AAAAAAAUAGAGUCGGGGUCGUAGAACAUCAAAUCCGUCUUUAACUACCCUGAGGAAAAUGAUAUUUCUUAUUUUGAUAGUUCCUUUAAAAAACAAUAAAAUAGACUAGUAACAAAACCUAAACAUCUCUUCUUCUUUUUUUAUGAAAUGAACAUCACUUAUUUGACAAAUUUGAUUCCUUCUAUAAAUUAUUAGCUCUUGUGCAAUAAAAAGAAAGAGGG
rnacentral:lncRNA from 1 species